CCUACGGGGGGCUGCAGUCGAGAAUCUUCCGCAAUGGACGAAAGUCUGACGGAGCGACGCCGCGUGCGGGAUGAAGGCCCUUGGGUUGUAAACCGCUGUCAGAGGGGAUGAAAUCUUCGGAGGUACUCCUCCGAUGUUGACAGAGCCUCAAAGGAAGCACGGGCUAAGUACGUGCCAGCAGCCGCGGUAACACGUACUGUGCGAACGUUAUUCGGAAUCACUGGGCUUAAAGGGUGCGUAGGCGGCAAAUCAAGUCAGGUGUGAAAGGCCUGAGCUCAACUGAGGCAUUGCGCUUGAAACUGAUUUGCUGGAGUAUUUCAGGGGUGUGGGGAACUGCCAGUGGAGCGGUGAAAUGUGUUGAUAUUGGCAGGAACACCGGAGGCGAAAGCGCCACACUGGGGCGUAACUGACGCUGAGGCACGAAAGCCAGGGGAGCGAACGGGAUUAGAUACCCCGGUAGUC
rnacentral:rRNA from 1 species